rnacentral:lncRNA from 1 species
CCCGGCUCAUUUUCUGUGUUUUCAGUAGAGACGGGGUUUCACUGUGUUAGCCAGGAAAGUCUUGAUCUCCUGACCUCGUGAUCCUGACCUCGGCCUCCCAAAGUGCUGGGAUUACAGGCGCGAGCCACCGCGCCCGACAGCAGUUAUGAAGUUCUAAAAGCAAGUCUUAAUCAGGAAGUGUCCUUGAUCACCAACGGCUCGCCCAGGCAUGCUGGCUCUCUUCCACUUCCACCUUCCACCAUGGGAUGACGCAGUAAGAAGGCCAUCAGUAGAUGCCAGUCCCUCAACCUUGAACUUUCCAGACGCAGAACUUUAUGCCUCCAUUUUCCUCUGCUGCAUGGCCCCAGGAGAGAUUUUAAUUAGCUUUCUAACCUUGGUCCAGAUUGCACAUGCAAAUGGUAGAGGAUGCAACACCCCCGCUUGUGGAGCUGCCGCUUGUGUCUGGCAUGGUGAGUUCAACAUUUGCUGCAAGUC